rnacentral:rRNA from 1 species
AUGGGAGUACAGCCUGCGGAAGUACCUCCUGCUGCUGGCCACCCUGGUGAUCACCGUCACGUACGCCGCCGGCUUCAACCCGCCCGGAGGCGUCUGGCAGGUCAUCCACGAGGGCAAACUCGCCGGCGAUCCUAUCAUCCGCCAAAUCCACUACCGCCGCUACCUCGCCUUCUUCUACUGCAACGCCGCGGCAUUUGCCGCAUCCCUCGUGGUCAUCGUCCUCAUCCUCAUCCUCGCCGUCCAGCACGACAAGGAGAAGGAGAAGAAGAAGAAGAAGGACGCCGUCCAGGUCGUCCUGCCGCUGCGGGGCUUCAUGAUUCUGGACGUGCUCAGCCUCAUGGGCGCAAGAUCUCCACCAUCUACUUCGCGGUGCUGGUGGCCGCCGUCUUCCUCUACAUCAUCGCCGUCAAGUUGCUGGACUGGUGGUUUACAGGUAAGCACUCCGACUCGUCCGGCUCCAGCGUGGAGUCCCAGAACGAGAAGGCCCUCAAGGAACUGAAAGAGAAAGACCAAGAACGGCUCCGCAAGAUCCUGAUGCUCCUGGCGACUUUCGCUGCGAGCAUCACCUACGUCGCUGGGCUGAACGCUCCGGGUGGCUUCUGGGACAGCACCGGCGGCAGCCACCGCCCGGGCGAUGCGAUUCUCAACGACCACCACAACCUGCGCAUGAGGGUGUUUUUACACUGCAACACCACGGCGUUCGUGGCGUCCCUGCUCAUCACCAUGCUGCUCAUUGUCGACAGCAAGAAGCUCCCUGCUCGAUCUUUCGUGCUCUAUGUGUGCAUCGUCGUCGCGCUUGUCGGCCUCGUCGGCGCAUAUGCGGCUGGCAGCUGCAGGGACACUGGUACCACCACCAUAGUGGUCAGCCUGGCCGGCGCCGUGCUGGCAUUGGCAUGCAUCCUACUGCGCACUUUACCGUCAGAAUCCUUGUCUUGUUGUUCCUGUAGAACAAGACAAACUGAUACAACUCAGCACAGUUCUAAGGAGCUUCUGGACAAAGCUCGCUCUCUUGUUCUACUCCUCGCAACUCUUGCCGCCGCCAUCACCUACACGGCAGGGUUGGACCCACCAGGUGGCCUUUGGCAAGAAAACGGCGAUGGGCACAUGGCCGGCGACCCCAUCCUCCUCACGACCAACGCUAGAAGGUACAAGGCCUUCUUCUACUGCAACUCGGUUGCAUUCGUGACCUCCUUGGUGGCCAUCAUCCUGGUCCAGGAGGAGAAUCUGGUCAAGCAUCACGUCCUAGAGGCAGCCAUGAUACUCGACCUGUUUGGCCUCAUUGGCGCGUAUGCUGCCGGGAGCUGCCGGGACGUGAGCACCUCCAUCUAUGCCAUGGCCUUGGCAGGUGCUGUCCUGGUCUAUGUGGUGAUCCAUGUCGUCUUCUUCACGCUGGACUACAAGGUUACGAAAAACAACGACCAAAAAGAUCGUUUGCUGGAGAAGAGGCGCAAACGGUUGCUCCUCUUCGCGAUCUUGGCCGCAACCAUCACCUACCAAGCCGGCCUCACCCCUCCUGGCGGCUUCUUGCUCCAGGACGACGAGCUUGGGCACCGUGCUGGUGACCCGGUCCUCUUGUACAACUACCCAGGCCGCUACAACGCCUUUUUCUACUCAAACUCGGUGAGCUUUAUGCUGUCCAUCGCCCUCAUCAUCCUCCUGGUGAACCCUAAUCUGUACAGGCCAGCCAUACGGAGCAAUGCGCUAUCUGUUUGUACGGCUGUGGGGUUGCUUUGUUUGAUGGGAGCCUACCCCGCGGGAAGCACUCAACACCUCAAGACAUCCAUCUACAUCUUCGCGUUGGUGGUCGUGGUCCUCUUCGUUGCAGUUGUAGUGCUGCUAGUAUUUUUACUGAAGGGGCCAAACAUAAAUAGCAACAAUUCGGACGAAGAAGAAGGGAAGAAGGAAGAAAAAGGGAAGAAGGUAGAAGAAAAGAAGGGGGGUAAAGAAAGGAAGAAGCACGAGAUGCGCAAGUACCUGAUGCUGCUAGGCAUUCUGGUGGCGAGCGUAGCCUACCAGGCCGGCCUGAAACCGCCAGGUGGAGCAUGGCAGAGCAGUGGCAAUGGGUACGAGGCAGGCGACCCAGUGAUGCACACCAACAGGAGGCCCCGGUACCUCGCAUUCUUCUACAGCAACUCUAUUUCCUUCAUGUCUUCCAUAGUUGUCAUCAUCAUUUUGCUAUGGCAAUGGCUGCAAAAGAAGGCGAAAGGAGAAUGGGAGGAACAGUCGCUGAGGGUGAUGAACUGGACGAUCCGACUGGAUUUGAUUGCUCUCCUAGUAGCCUAUGCAGCCGGCUCCAACAGGGGGUGGAAGACGUCUGUUUAUGUCGCCACGCUCAUCAUUGCUGUGCUGGGCUACUUUGCAAUCCAUAUGACGCUGGCACGUAUUGUUUGUCAGCUUAAGAAAUCCAAAGAGAGACCUGCAGCGUGA